rnacentral:rRNA from 1 species
AUACGGGGGGGGCGAGCGUUGUCCGGAAUUAUUGGGCGUAAAGGGCGCGUAGGCGGAAUAGUAAGUCAGAAGUGAAAAUCAUGGGCUUAACUCAUGACCUGCUUUUGAUACUGCUAUUCUCGAGUGCGAGAGAGGAAAGCGGAAUUCCCGGUGUAGCGGUGAAAUGCGUAGAUAUCGGGAAGAACACCGGUAGCGAAGGCGGCUUUCUGGCUCGCAACUGACGCUGAGGCGCGAAAGCGUGGGGAGCAAACAGGAUUAGAUACCCCGGUAGUCC